CCCGUAUUUCCGUGCGUGCUUGACCGAUGGAAUGGCUCUAGCACCAUGCAAAUUCGGCGU
rnacentral:pre_miRNA from 1 species